rnacentral:rRNA from 1 species
GACGAACGCUGGCGGCGUGCUUAACACAUGCAAGUCGAACGGAAAGGCCCUGCUUUUGUGGGGUGCUCGAGUGGCGAUCGGGUGAGUAACACGUGAGUAACCUGCCCUUGACUUUGGGAUAACUUCAGGAAACUGGGGCUAAUACCGGAUAGGAGCUCCUGCUGCAUGGUGGGGGUUGGAAAGUUUCGGCGGUUGGGGAUGGACUCGCGGCUUAUCAGCUUGUUGGUGGGGUAGUGGCUUACCAAGGCUUUGACGGGUAGCCGGCCUGAGAGGGUGACCGGCCACAUUAGGACUGAGGGACGGCCCAGACUCCUACGGGAGGCAGCAGUGGGGAAUCUUGCACAAUGGGCGGAAGCCUGAUGCGGCAACGCCGCGUUCGGGAUGACGGCCUUCGGGUUGUAAACCGCUUUCGCCUGUGACGAAGCGUGAGUGACGGUAAUGGGUAAAGAAGCACCGGCUAACUACGUG